rnacentral:rRNA from 1 species
CGAAAGCCUGACGCAGCGACGCCGCGUGGAGGAUGAAGGUCUUCGGAUUGUAAACUCCUGUCAGAGGUGAAGAAAGCCUUUUUAGGUCUGACGGUAACCUCAGAGGAAGCCCCGGCUAACUACGUGCCAGCAGCCGCGGUAAUACGUAGGGGGCAAACGUUGCUCGGAAUUACUGGGCGUAAAGGGUGCGCAGGUGGCUGAGAAAGUCGUUGAUGAAAUCCCGGGGCUUACCCCCGGAACUGUCUUCGAUACUUCUCAGCUUGAGGAUAGUCGAGGAGAACGGAAUUCCCGGUGGAGCGGUGAAAUGCGUAGAUAUCGGGAGGAACACCAGAGGCGAAGGCGGUUCUCUAGGCUAAUCCUGACACUGAGGCACGAAAGCUAGGGGAGCG